CCUAAUACAUGCAAGUCGAACGCGCUUUCUCUUCGGGGAGAGCGAGUGGCGGACGGGUGAGUAACACGUGGAUAAUCUACCUUGAGGUGAGGAAUACCCCCGAGAAAUCGGGGACAAGACCGCAUAUGCUUGUACAAGCAAAGUCACUUUGGUGACGCCUUGAGAUGAGUCUGCGUCCGAUUAGCUAGUUGGUAGGGUAAGAGCUUACCAAGGCGACGAUCGGUAGCUGGUCUGAGAGGAUGAUCAGCCACACUGGGAUUGAGAACGGCCCAGACUCCUACGGGAGGCAGCAGUGAGGAAUUUUCCGCAAUGGACGCAAGUCUGACGGAGCAACGCCGCGUGCAGGACGAAGGUCUUCGGAUCGUAAACUGCUUUUCCCAGGGAAGAGAACGGACGGUACCUGGGGAAGAAGUCCCGGCUAACUACGUGCCAGCAGCCGCGGUAAUACGUAAGGGGGCAAGCGUUGUCCGGAAUUAUUGGGCGUAAAGCGCACGCAGGCGGUCCUGGAAGUUCGAGAUGACAGUCGUCAGCUUAACUGAUGAAGUGCCUCGAAAACUCCAGGACUUGAGAGCGAGAGAGGGAUACGGAAUUCCAGGUGGAGUGGUGAAAUGCGUAGAUAUCUGGAAGAACACCAAUGGCGAAGGCAGUAUCCUGGCUCGUAUCUGACGCUCAGGUGCGAGAGCUAGGGGAGCGAACGGGAUUAGAUACCCCGGUGGUCCUAGCCGUAAACGAUGACCACUAGACGUGGGGGGGAUCGACCCCUUCCGUGUCGUAGCAAACGUGUUAAGUGGUCCGCCUGAGGAGUACGAACGCAAGUUUAAAACUCAAAGGAAUUGACGGGGACCCGCACAAGCAGCGGAGCGUGUGGUUUAAUUCGAUGCAACGCGAAGAACCUUACCAGGCUUUGACAUACUCAUGAUCGCACCAGAGAUGGUGUUCCCUUCGGGGCAUGAGCACAGGUGCUGCAUGGCUGUCGUCAGCUCGUGCCGUGAGGUGUUGGGUUAAGUCCCUCAACGAGCGCAACCCUUACUGGUAGUUACAUAUCUCUACCGGGACUGCCGCGAUCAACGCGGAGGAAGGUGGGGAUGACGUCAAGUCAGCACGGCCCUUACAGCCUGGGCGACACACACGCUACAAUGGCUGGUACAAUGGGGAGCCAACCCGCGAGGGGGAGCCAAUCCUAUCAAAACCAGUCUCAGUUCGGAUUGUAGGCUGCAACCCGCCUGCAUGAAGUUGGAGUUGCUAGUAACCGUGAGUCAGCACAUCACGGUGAAUACGUUCCCGGGUCUUGUACACACCGCCCGUCACAA
rnacentral:rRNA from 1 species